rnacentral:rRNA from 1 species
AUGGCUGCAAUCCAGAAGCUGUAUGAGGUCUGCAAAGUAUCAUUAUUUGAAAAAGGGCCAUCAUCUCCUGAAGCCGUUGAAAAUGUUCGUACUGUAUUAGAUAUGAUCACACCUUCUGAUGUUGGACUUGAGUGUGAAGCACAAGCUGUUCGUGUUUGGAGAAGACCACGGGCCUUGAGUAGGAAAACAGUGCUCCAUUCAAGCCCAGCGAUCAGAUAUCGUCAUAUAUAUGAGUGCAAAAGCUUCUCUAUUGGGAUAUUUUGCAUACCAGCAUCAUCAAUCAUCCCACUGCACAACCAUCCAGGCAUGACUGUGCUCAGCAAACUUCUCUAUGGUAAAGUGCAUGUCAAAGCGUAUGAUUGGAUUGAUAUAGACGAACCCGGUAACUUAACAAAAGUCAGACCAGCCAAGGUUGUCAGGGAUGGUGAAAUAUCUGUGCCUUGCGCGGCGAUGGUGCUUCGUCCAACAGACGGUGGGAAUGUCCAUGCCCUGAAAGCCAUCACUCCCUGUGCUAUCUUGGACAUCUUGUCGCCUCCUUACUCAUCAAAGGAUGGAAGGCAUUGCUCCUAUUUCCGGAGACGCCAAAAAUCAGACCCGUCGGGCAUUUUAUGGGACCGAACAAGGGAGUCUGAAUUUGUCUGGCUGGAAGAAUACCAGCCCCGUGACAACUUUGUUAUUAGAAGAGACCUGUACACAGGACCUACUUUGGACCUGUGA